rnacentral:rRNA from 1 species
GACGAACGCUGGCGGCGUGCUUAACACAUGCAAGUCGAACGGUAAGGCCCUUCGGGGUACACGAGUGGCGAACGGGUGAGUAACACGUGGGUGACCUGCCCUGCACUUCGGGAUAAGCCUGGGAAACUGGGUCUAAUACCGGAUAGGACUCCGGACUGCAUGGUCUGGGGUGGAAAGCUUUUGCGGUGUGGGAUGGGCCCGCGGCCUAUCAGCUUGUUGGUGGGGUGAUGGCCUACCAAGGCGACGACGGGUAGCCGGCCUGAGAGGGUGACCGGCCACACUGGGACUGAGAUACGGCCCAGACGCCUACGGGAGGCAGCAGUGGGGAAUAUUGCACAAUGGGCGCAAGCCUGAUGCAGCGACGCCGCGUGAGGGAUGACGGCCUUCGGGUUGUAAACCUCUUUCAGCAUCGACGAAGCGAAAGUGACGGUAGGUGCAGAAGAAGGACCGGCCAACUACGUGCCAGCCGCCGCAGUAA